UUUAGUAACGAUGAAUGUUUUUGCUCAUAUGAAUGUACAGUCUUUGAGAGAGCAUCGUAUGCUCAUAUUUUGUGUGUCUAUUCAAUGCUUAUGAGUGCUGUUAGACCAGCAGCUCGUUAUUCUUAUUAACUAGACUACUUAACAAUGAACACUGGUUGAAACUACAAAUUAAUAUUUCGGUUAAAAAAUAUUGGAAUGACUAUUGCAGACAUUCAUUUUCUAAAAGCAGAUGUCAGCACUUACAUUUCAGAAGUCACAAGUUCUUACAGGUCACAAGUUUGCAUAUGCCUUGGAGAAUCUGAAAAAUAGGAAUCAUAAAAAUUCCAUUUUCAUUUUUAUUUAGUACUUCCCUGAAUAACAGGUGUUUACAAAUAGUCUACAAGACACAAUAAUAGUUUAAUAGUGUGUUGUUAACACUUUAAAUCGAUCAUCCUGUUCAACACACCACUGGCUUUUAAUGUAUCGUGUUGUCUUCUUGAGCAUCAGUAAAUGUUUGCACCUUAUGUAAUAGUUGUGUAUGAGUCCCUCAGUUGUCCUCAGUGUGAAAAGACGGAUCUCAACAUCAUAUAGCCACUGCUGGAAAUGGGUCAAAUAUGCAGAAGAUGCUGGAAAACUGCAGGACCUGGAGGACUUUUCUUAAGAAGAGUGGACAGUUUAACUCCUCAGGACAAACAAGGGGCUCAUGAACUAACCCUAACCCUAACCCUAACUAUUACAAAACAUAAAUAGUCAUUGAUCAUCCUGGUAAUAACACACAGUAUUAAGAAUCAAGCGUAUGUAAACUUUUGAACCGGUUCAUUUGUGUAAAUUCAGUUAUUAUUGUCUUGUAGACUAUUUAUAAACAACUGUUAUUCAGGGAAGUAUUAAAUAAAUAAAUGCAAUUUUUAUGAUCCCUCUUUUUUCAUUAUCAACAUUUUGCAGAUUCUGCAAGACGUAUGUAAACUUAUGAGCACAACUUCAUGAUGCCUUAUCAGUGCACUGGUGUUUUACUUUCAAUUUAGAGUCAAUUUCAAA
ensembl:lncRNA